GCCCAGCUAGCUCAGUCGGUAGAGCAUAAGACUCUUAAUCUCAGGGUUGUGGAUUCGUACCCCAUGCUGGGUG
rfam:Gorilla gorilla gorilla genomic chromosome, chr19, whole genome shotgun sequence